CGCGGGGUGGAGCAGCUCGGUAGCUCGCUGGGCUCAUAACCCAGAGGUCGCAGGUUCAAAUCCUGUCCCGCUA
rnacentral:tRNA from 2 species